rnacentral:lncRNA from 1 species
UUUUUUUGAUUUUUUUUUUUUUUUUUUUUAGGUGUGUCCCGCAGGGAGUGUACCCGCAGACUAUUCACCACCCUCAGCAACUUGCUGGCAGCAAGGUUCGAACCAGAGCCUAAUAACCUAGUGUCUAAGCUUGUUUGAUUUAUUUAAUGAAUUUAAAAUUUUGUUCAAACUUGACUUAUUUAUUUUGCUCAAUUCAGCAUUUUUCAAGUUGUCAACAUUUUUCAAGUAUUAACAAAUAAUAAAGCCAAAUAAUAGAAAUAGAAAACAUCAUAGAAACUUCUAAUUUAUAAUCAAGAAAAAUAAAAAAGGAAUUGGUGAAUUAUAGAACAAAAUAAAAAAUGUCAAUAUUUUCAUACUAGUAACUUUUAAUAUGCAAGCAAGGAAAAUAAUAAAUUACAAUACAUGAUUGGCAAGAAACCAAAAAACUAUAAGUUGGUUGAUCAAAAUAUAUAAUAAGGCAUAAUAAAUAGAAAUGUAUAUAAGGUGGAAACCAUCAAAUUCAUUGAGUAUUGCUAUAAAUAAGGAAGUGAAAAGGAAGAGAUUAAUUGUUGCCAAAAUUUAGAAUAUUAAUAGAAAAAUAUCCAAAAAUACCAAUAAUUAUAGGUCCAUGUAGUGAGCAAAUAUAUAGUUCUUGGUUGAUCAAAAUAUGUAAUAAGGCAUAAUAAAUAGAAAUCCAAAAAUUCAUUAAGUAUUGUUAUAAAUAAGGAAGUGAAAAGGAAAGGGAUUAAUUAUUGUCAAAAAAAAUAGAAUAGUAAUAGAAAAGUGCCAAAAAAUACAAACAAUUUAUAGGUCUAUGUAGCGAACAAAUAUAUAGUUCAAUGGGAAGAGGUUUAGAGUAGCUAAUCAGCAAAACAAUAUAUACGCAUGUUUUGGCAAAAUAGGAAUUUUUAAACUUUCAAGUUUUUUUGUUGAUAGUUGCACCAAUACAUAUUAACUUGUUAAAAAUUUAUUCAUUAUUUUCUAACUUCAUUGGUGGAAGCAUGCACACUUUCUUAUUAACAGUUGUACUAGUACAUAUUAACUUGUUAAAAAUUCAUUCAUUAUUUCCUAAUUUCAUUGGUGGAAACAUACACUGCAUAAAACUUAGGGUAAAAUAUAACAAACCCCCUGUUGUUAAGAUAACAGGCACGAAACCCCCUUAUCGUUUGAAAAAUCUACUUAACCCUCUUGUGCUUUGGAUUUCUUUGGAUUUUACCUACCAAUGAGCUGGGAAGCUAGCAAGUGAUGUUGACGUGACCUAAAGGUCGCUUGUGACUGAAAGAGACUUAUUUAUGGAAUAAGAUACUACUUUUCAUUCCAAUUUUGCCCUCCAUAUCACUUAUAAAUGAAACCCACCAUAGCUGUGGUUUUGCAAAUCGAAAAAUUGGAAAAAGAGACACAAAACUAAGACAAAAAUCGUAAGAACGCAGCUUUGGAGGGCACAAAAUAGCUUUAUUCAAGGAAGAAGCUAAAAAUGUCAAACUGUCAAAACUUUGGCGGUGGAUCGAGGAACCAAAAGGUACCAAUACAGGCGAUGUUUUGCAAAAAUAAAGCAAAGAUUAAGUUGGUGGAAUCUAAAAAAUAAUCAGAAGAUAUGAUGUACUUUGUAUGUGAAAAUGGUGUUUGUUCAUUUUGGGCAUAGUGUAACCCAAUUAGUAGAGAGGGAUGCACUAAUAAAUAAUCCUACUAAAGUCCAUACAUGGAAGAGGUUUCACCAACUGGAUCUGCAACGCCGAAAAGAUUUUUCAACUCUAGGCAAGGGAUGGAAAGUAUUAAAUAUAACAUCAUUAUGGGACUGCAGUUGAAGAUUCACAGUGUGUAAAGUAAUUAUGGGGCUGAUGAAAAUGAUGAUGAUGGUGUCUUUAGUUGUGUCUUUUUUGUCACUAGUUGUUAUACGUAUGAGAUAAAUGUUUUGGACAAAUAGUAGUGUAGUAAAUUUAUAGUAGAUGAAGAAGUUGGGCACAAUAAUAGAUUUUGUUAUGUCCAACUUGUUUUACAUGUAAUGAAGUACACAUUCUAGUUUCAAGUAAGAAGAAUGAAUGAAGCUGCGUUGUUUUAUUGCAGGCAAACCAAUGCUGUAAUUUCGAUAUUGAAUAAUUACAUGAAAAAAAAAAUUGAAAGACCUAAGAAUUCACUGUAAUAAACUAGUCAAAUUAAACCAUUUUCAGUAAAGAUAUCACCAGCAAUACUACCACAAAUGCCACAAAAAAGCAGCAUAUUGCCACAUCCAUACCAUAAUGGUAUCAAUUUGCCAAAAUAUGGCCAAAAUUUGAGUUUAUUAGUUUCAAUAAAUAUUACAAUCCAAUCACAAAAAGGAUCAAUUUAGUUGGCAUAACCAGUACAUUCAACAAAUAAAAAAGAGAUAAGUGUAGUUCAUUUUCUUGGUCUCUUGGAGCUAGAAUAUCACAGCCUUGACAUACCUGCAGCUGGUUGCUUCCUCUUUAAGGAUAUGUUUUGUUGGCUUCCUUGGUUUCUACCACUUCUAGGCUGCCUUGGUUCCUGCAUAUAAGUGGCAUUGGCUAGUAAGUAAAUAGAUCGCAGCACCCAAAAAUAGGUAAUUGAAAACUCGUACCUGUGAAAGUGUAAUGGCAGUAGCACUUGAGACACUAGCCUAAGCUACAAAAGUUUCGGAUAUUGCAUUUGAAGCUGUUGGACUAGAUUUAGGUGCUUAUAGUUCGCAUCCAAAUGACUGAAUGUAUAAGUAACAACAAAACAAACUAGAAAAUUGGUCUUUUCUGAAAUGUUACAUUACCUUUUAAAGCUUGGACUUAGGGUGAAUUGUUGAUUUGCAAGUUCUUAUGUCCAUAUUUCAAACACCUCCGGCAGUAGACUGCUAGGCCCUUACUGCUUGCUUUCUGCUGAUUUAUAGGCUCUUCUAAACUUUUCUUCCUCUGCUUCUUUGGCCUACCAGGCUAUUUUUUCACAAUUGCUGGGGUCAAAUAUUGCAUUUUACUAUCCACCCAGAACUGCUUUGAAGUAAUAAGACCAAUUGUGAAGUUGUAGGCCCUUAAAUAUGCUUCCCUAUGGUAACAAACAUCAACAUAUUGCUUAAAUUCCAACAUUGUGCUCUAAAAGCAGGCAAUCGUAUGCAUGCUCGAAAUGCCACUGAGUUGAAAAUGACCACAUAUACAUGUCUUCAUCUCCAAAUUGAGAACGUUGGUCCUUCGAUAGCCAUCAACUUCCAAAAUUCCCAUUUCCUCUAUAAACCACGACACAAUUUCUUGCUUUUAUCUUCAAUUUCUCUAACUUCUCAUAAAUGUUUAGACAUAAAGUGCCACCAUAUUUCAGCAUGCCCUCUCGUUUGGUUACCAUCCUUUGCAUUAAUCUCUUCCGAAUCCACUUCAACAAUGUUGUUAUUGGCUCAUCUCUAGCAUUUAGAAUGUAAUUAUUCCAUGACUCACUUAUGUUAUUGAUGUAUGUGUCACUUUUACAAGCUGUACUAAAGUGAGCUCUGGACCAAAGCUUUGGACGCAACCAUUUGAACCAUCCUGCAACUGUUAGCUUGUCACCUUUCUCUGGUUUAGCCUUUUCAAGAUUUGCUAGGGCAAUUUUAUACUCCGGCAUGCUUGUUACUAUAGCAACUACCCAAAACAUGUCUCUAAGAUCUUGAUUUUUGAAUCUUCAUUUAAAGUCCUCGAACACAUGUUUCAGGCAGAAUCUGUGCUCUGAUUCAGGGAAUAGCUUUUCAAUUGCAUAGACAAGACCCUCUUGCCUAUCCGAAAUGAAAGUAUAAGCCAUUCUUUUGUUUCCUCUUCCAAUUUGGAUGAUUAAUUCCCUCAAAAACUAGCUCCACCUAUCAUAGUUCUCUAUCUCAACAACAGUAAAGGAAAUAGGGAACAUGUUUUCAUUGGCAUCCCUACCCAAGGCUAUAAGCAGUUGACUUCCAAAGGGACUCUUAGGAAACAACUAUCUAGUCCUCUUAUAAGUCUACAGCUUUCAAGGAAACCAUUCUUCGGAGCACCUAAUCCAUAGUAUAUCAUCUAAAAUAUAGCUCUUCCUCAAGACUCCUCUUGCCAAUUUGUAGUGAAAUAUGACUAUCAGGAUUGGACUUUUUUACAGUGGCUACAUAAUCUCAAAGCCUGUACUGCUCCAUGUCAUUUCCCCUAAAUGCCUCCAAUUGCUUUCUGCUUCAUUCUGGCUGCCUUAUUCUCACUAAUAUCAAGCAUAACCAGCCUUCUUAUCUUAUUCACUAUACUAGGAAUACUGCACCUAGGAUCAUGUCUCACCUUGGCCUGAAAUUUUUUACUAAGAUAUCUUGAAGUGGCAUGUCUAUUGCUAUAAUCCCUACCAUAGUAGUGCUCUUUCUUGAGAGUUUUGAUCAUAAAAAUGUUUGUUCUCUGGAUUUUGCUUACUUGAAUUCUCCAACUUCACCCCUUUGCACAUUUAGAUAUCAUUCAAAAGUCUUCAUUUCUCAUGUAUUUGUACUUAUGCCCCUCCCUAAUUUCCCACUUUGCAAAAGCCUCCCUAAAUUUAGAGAAGCAAGUAGAUUUCUAUCCAACCUUUAGUUCAAGGUGUUGUUUCCUAAACUCUUCAUAUGCAUUGAAGUAAGCUUAACCAAGGAUGUUUUCAUCAUCAGAUCCUAUCCCUUUAUCAAAUAGGUUUUCAUCAUCCUCUGCUGACUCAUUCCAAUCCUCUUCCUGCUUAUUAGCACAACAUCUAUCAUCCACACCUGAUGUUGAUUGACUCCCCUCUUCAUGACUUUGGUUGUUUGCUUGUUUUCUAGAUUUCACUUGCUAAUUUUGUUGUUCCUGCUCUAAACCAAAUUGUUUUUUGGAUUUGACCUGUUGAUUUUCUUAUUGCUGAUUUGAACUAGCUUGUUUUUAGAUUUGGCUUACUAAUUUUCUUGUCACUGCUCUGAACCAACUCCAACUAAAUUUGCAAAUCUUUGAUUUAUAGAUGCCUAUGUUGAUUCUUGACCAUUUAAGCCUGCAAAUAUGUCAUUAUCUUCAGGCCCUUCUAGUCCUUCCCUUUGCCAAUGAAGAAGAUCUAAAUAGUUUGGUAUGAUAUCAUUUUCUUCUCCAACUUUAUGAGCUCUUUGCUCCCCUAAAAUUGGUUGUUUCUUCUAAUGAAUUUCUUGUGGGAGACUUCUGGACCUCUGUGGUUGUAUCAACUUUUUCCUUCACUUUAAAUGACCUUGUAGCUAACUUUUUUGCAGUUAAUUUUACUCUUUGCGACAAUAAUCUUGAUUGCUUCAAAAAGACCCAUUCCUUUCUACUUUUUGCUUACUUAGGAAUUUUUUAAAAAAUUUUCCCAAUAAAAAUUAUUGACAAAACUUCUGACUAAGCCCAACUUGCCACUUCUUUUACCAAGUUUCAAAAUAUCCCCAACAAUUUACUACCAAAAUGCUUGCUAGUCAAACAAAUCAAGACAAGUAAAUUUAGGGUUCAAAUCCAAGAUUACCUCAUUAAUUGUUAUACUCAAUGCUUCACAACCUCGAUCAAUCUACACAAAAGCACCUUGUUUGUUUGCAAGCUACACACAAAAAUCCUAUACUGUAUCGGUGCUGUGGAAGACAACGGCAAUUGCAGCGGAUCUUGGCUACAUGUUUAGGGUUUCAUCAACUUUCUCUCUCUAGACAUGAAAAUCUGCUAAUUGCAUCUGUACCUUUUGGUGAUAUUAUAAAUGAAGGUAUUUUUUAUAUUUUAUAUUGUUACCGGCUUCCCAAUCAGUUAGCAGAUAAAAUUCAAAGAAGUCCAAAGCAUAAGAGAGUUAAGUGGGUAUUUUUAAACGAUGAGGGAGUUUUGUAUCCAUUACCCUAACCACAGAGGGGUUUACUUUAUUUUACCUAAAACUUAUCAAUCAUUUUUGGAAAAUACCCUUAAACUUAUCAAUCAUUUCAGUUUAGCUUUCAUUUUUGGAAAAUCAAAAUUGAAGUGUGAAAUACUUGGUUUUUUUUUUUUUUAGUAACAAGAAAUACUUGGUUGUAAAUGAUCAAUUGUCUAUAAAGAAAAGUUGACGCAAUAAAGUUUUUCAUGUGCUCAAAUGUUUGUCUAAAAAAAUUUCAAAUGAGCAUUCACAUAUGUUAAAAUAACAUAUCUAUGCUUUCGUUUUGCACUUGCAAUAAUGAUUUCUCUUCAAAGUUUAAUACAACUAUUGUGGACCAUGAAAUUUAAGUGCAUUUACGUUUUAUUAUUUUUUGUGACCUCUAAAUAUUAUAUAUCAAUUGGUAUCUUUUUUAGUUAUAUAAUCUAUCUACGAUUGUAAUUCUUUAAUUUACAAGGAACUAUAUAUAAUUUUCCAAUUUAAAAAAUUCUAAUCAUUUUCAUCCAUUCUCCAACAUACGAAAAAUGAUGGAAAGAUAUAUUCUACUUUCUUUUAAUUAGAAAAUUCAAAAUCAGUCACCCUUUUUUUACAAUUAUUAUCACAUGUUCCUUAUGAGGGCAUCUUUUUAUUCUUUUUCAUUUAUAGGGUUAUUUGUAAUUAAUUCCUUUUCCUACAUGAUACUUGAUCACCAUCGAGGUAAUAUUUGUUCAUAACUUAUCAGAGUAUUAUGGUGGAGUAACAAUUUUUAUAUCAUUUAGUUUCAAUAUUUGUCUUAUAUUGGUUUUUAAAAUUUAAAAAAAAAAUGCUAUUUUAAUUGUUUUAUAUCCAUAUUUAAUUCAUUUAAUUGUUUUUUAUAUGAAUAGUGUCUUAUAUGGUAAAAGUUGUAGUUUUCAAAUUCAUAAUCUACGUUUUGUGUAGAUCACUGAGGGUAUAGAUUCAAACCAAAUUUGGUUGAAUAACUAUUUACCAAUUGGUUCAAAUGAAAAUUUGAGAGAUAGUUUUUUUUUUUUUUUUUGUUUGAAUAACUAUUCACCAAUGGGUUCAAGAGUUGUUUUCACCAACCAAUCAUAGUUUUCUAGGCAUUCACGGAGUCAGCUCGCACAAAUGCGUGCCUGCUUUCAUAUUUUUUGAUACAAAUACUUCACUAUUUUGUGGAACACUCCUCUCAUUUAUUUUAGUUUACAAAUUUAUCUCUUCAUCCUUGAUCCCGCUUUCCUGCCCCCUCCACUAUACAGUAGGAUCCACUCAUUCGUGAACUGAUCGCAUUCCAUUUUGUGAGGUGGAUUUUCAUUUACACCACACGAUCAUUGUUUUCCGUGCAGUUACCAUGUGGAUGUUUCUUAGCCAUUUGCUUUUCCUUUUCCUUUUCGCAUCUCUUUUCUCAAUAUAUAAACAUACUUCAAAAAUUUUCAUAUGUUAAUCUUUUAUGUUCGUUAGUGUAAAAUUAUAUUACUUAAGCUUGAUUGAGUUAGAUUGAAUCAAGUUUGAGUAAGUUAAAACUAGAUUGAGAUUAAGCCCAAAUGCAAGUUCUAAAAGCUCUAGAAAUGCAUUAAUGUAGUUUAAUUUAUCUCGUUCAUAAAAGUUUAAGUAUUGCAUUAUUCAAUUUUGAUUGGCUCGUUUAUACCCCUAUUGAGUAAUAUACAAUACUUUUGUUUUGUUUAGACUUACUUUGCUUUAAUUUUUUAAAUUUUAUCUUGUUUGAAUUUAUCUGUCCUGCUUCUGUUAUAUUUGCAAAUUGAAAUAUGUUCACUCUCUAUUUUUCUUCCCCCUCCCCAAAAACUCACCCCAUUUUCAAGCCAUUAAUUCAUAAUCUCGAUAUUUUUUAAUAUACAACAAUUUUGCAUCCUAUUAAAUAUUAAUAGGAGCAGUGCAAAAUAUAACACUUUUUAGGAGCCAUUUAAUUCAAAUUCCACAAUUACUAUCGCUGUCGAUAUCAUAGGGAGGCAGUGUGUUUGUUAAUAUGGAAUGGAUUUUACGAUUUAUUACUUUUCUUUUUCAUUAUUUCUUUUUUUUUUUCCAUUUUUUGAAACCAACCCAAAUGGUAUCAUUUUGUUUUCUUAUUUUUACAUUUAAGGAGAUUAAGAUGAGUAUUUUUAUCUUUAAGGAGAAUAAAAUUGAUAAUUAAGAUGAUUGUCCAGUGAGAGAUGGUUAAUCAAAAAACCCAUAGAAGAGGCCUAUCAUUCACAUUGAUUUAUUCUCAUCGGCCAGAAGCAAACAUCGUGUAAGGGUAUAAUUGAAUUUGAAACCCAACUAGGGGUUGAAGCCCAUCGUAAUUUUCUCCCCCUGUAUUUUCCAGACUUCAAAAGUAAACUGACGAAGAUAUGCCUGUUCACAUUUCAUAAACGGGUCUAACCCUUUCUUUGUGAUCAUAUUACUACAUGCCGAGAUCGUGUUAAUAUCACUGUGUCUUCCAUCAAGAAAUAAUACAAUUACUAUGUCAUUUAGCAACAUUUUGUUUUGUAUUUUCAAGAAACAUAAAAUUGCAGUAUAUUAGACCUGAACAGCGUUUUGGACAGUUCUGAAGUCGCAAUAUAACAAGAUUGACCUAAUACAACAGGCAGACAAAUCAAAGCAAACCACAUACGAACUAGUGACAGUCUGAAAUGAAAUGAAAAAAUUGGGAUGUCCGAAGCUCAGAAAUUCUAAUCUUCAGAUACCAUCUGCAGUCAGUAUGAAAGAGAAGUCCUAAUGCCCCUCAACAAGGGGGUGUCAAGAUCAAGAUACACGGGCAGAAGUUCAAAAGAAAGAAAGACGGGUAAAAAAAAGGAAAGGACAAGAAAGUUGCGGAAAACAAAUAGAAGUCCUAAUGCCUCCCAGCAAAAGGGUGUCAGCAGAAAACUUGACAGAGAUAAGAUAGAAAUGCACGCAGGCAAAGUACAAGAACAAACACAAAUUAUAACAUCCUGUCAUGAUGACUACAUCUAUCAGCGACCAGGCAAUGUUUACUGCUGUUUUUCAUGCUUAUCCAUUUUAACUCCACAAUGGUUGCAAAUCACAAACAAAGAUCCCAACCUAUCCUGUACUCCCCAUAUACAUGAUCCCCAAUCUAAAAAUUGCAAGUAUAAUGUAUUGACAGCAUGAACCACCAACAAAGGCAGUCAUUUCACGCAUCAACAGCAGAAUUCCAUC